UACGUAGGGGGCGAGCGUUGUCCGGAUUCAUUGGGCGUAAAGCGCGCGCAGGCGGUGGCGUGAGCCCGGCGUGAAAGCCCCCAGCUCAACUAGGGGAGGCCGUCGGAGACCGCGGCACUUGAGGCCGGUAGGGGAGAGCGGAAUUCCCGGUGUAGUGGUGGAAUGCGUAGAUAUCGGGAGGAACACCAGUGGCGAAGGCGGCUCUCUGGACCGGUUCUGACGCUCAGGCGCGAAAGCGUGGGGAGCGAUCCGG
rnacentral:rRNA from 1 species